GUUUAUUUCAAGUGCGAAUUUGGCAGCCAACUCUGGAUCCCUACCUCUGCGGUGCCUAGAAGAAAAUAUGGCUGUCUUCUUGUUUGCCAGGGCUACCCAAGGUCAGUCUUCAUCUGCUGCCUGAGCUCCUUUCCGAGCCUCUGGAUGAGCUUGUCCUGGAUAUCUCCACUUCAACCAUUCUCCACACGCAGGUCAAAGAAUAUCCUAUUACCCAUCCAUACAGCCCAUACACCUCCCCAAGUUCUGGCAAAUGGGAUCAUAUAGUACUACCCGGAGCCCUACAUUUAUUGCUGGUUUUGACAUUUCAUAUGGACGAGAAGAAGCUGUGCCUCAGGAACCCUAGACAUGGAUGGACUACUUAGUCUAUUGGCAUCCAUGUAAUGCAGUACCAGGCCUUAAUUGACCAUGAACUCUCCUAGAGCAUGCAAAAGCAACUGUAUCAUCGUGGGUCAUCUAAGAAGACACAGAGUGCCAUCUGCUGGCCCAUUCUUCCAACUUCACUGGGAACUAAAGAUGAAGGGCGAUUAGAGGCUGGGGCAGUGAGCACCUUCCAUGGUGGAAGUUCUGUCAUGCUAAGGAAGCAGGA
ensembl:lncRNA